UGCGUAGGCGGCGCGGUAAGUCGGGUGUGAAAUCUCGGAGCUUAACUUCGAAACUGCAUUCGGUACUGCCGUGCUUGAGGACUGGAGAGGAGACUGGAAUUUACGGUGUAGCGGUGAAAUGCGUAGAUAUCGUAAGGAAGACCAGUGGCGAAGGCGGGUCUCUGGACAGUUCCUGACGCUGAGGCACGAAGGCCAGGGGAGCAAACG
rnacentral:rRNA from 1 species